rnacentral:rRNA from 1 species
AAGAUUUUACUUAAUUAAGAUUUAGUUAUUAAAAUAUUAAUAAAAAUAAUUUUAUUUAGAAUAUAGUAUUUAUUUAGGAAAUAUUGAUUUAUUUUAUAUAGGGAAGAGUACUGUGAGGGAAGGUUGAAAGAAAUUAAAAAUUAAUUUAUAGGAAAGUAAAUUAGUGAAUUGUACCUUUUGUAUCAGGGUCUAUAAAGUUUAUUGCAGUGAAAUAGUGUGAUUCCCGGUUUAGGAAGAGCUAAUAUAUUAAGCUAGUUGAUGUAAUAUAAUCAUUAGAAAUAAAAUAUUAGUAAUAAAAUGUUAUUCGAUUCUUAAAAUAUCUGGUUUUCUAAGAAAUAAAUUUAAUUUAUAUUAUUUUUGUAAAAAUUUACUUUUUAAAAUUUUUAUAUAGAAUAAUUAAAUAAUUUGGGGGAUAAGCUCUGAAUUAAUAAUUAUAAAGUGUGUGUGUUUAUUUCGUAUAAAUAAUUGUAAGCUUUAGAUUAGCUAUUAAUAAUAAUUUUGUUAUAAAUUAUAUUGUUUGUGAGAAAUUUUAUAGUGUUUUAAUUUUUAUAUUAGAAUAUAUAAUUUAUUUUGUAAUUUGUAGUGACAAUGAUAGAAUUAGUAUAUAAAUGUGUAAAUAUAAUUUUAUUUAAAAAUUUGUAUAAAGGAACUAGGCAAAUAUUAUACUCGCCUGUUUAACAAAAACAUGUCUUUUAGAGGAAUAUUUAAAGUCGGGCCUGCCCACUGAUGAUAUAUUAAAGGGCCGCGGUAUUUUGACCGUGCAAAGGUAGCAUAAUCAUUAGUCUUUUAAUUGAAGGCUGGAAUGAAGGGUUUGACGAAGUAUAGACUGUCUCUGUAUAAUAUGAUAAAAUUUAACUUUUAAGUCAAAAGGCUUAAAUAAAAGUAGAGGACGAGAAGACCCUAUAGAGUUUUAUUUAUUUUAGUGUAUAGAUUUAUUUAGUUGAUGUAAUUUUUAUUUUUAAAAUAAAUUGAGUUGGGGUGACUUAAAGAUAUAAUUAACUCUUUAUUUUUAUGUACAUUAAUUUAUGAAUCAUUGAUCCAUUAAUAAUGAUUAUAAGAUAAAAUUACCUUAGGGAUAACAGCGUAAUUUUUCUUGAGAGUUCAUAUCGACAGAAAAGUUUGCGACCUCGAUGUUGGACUAAGAAAAUGAUUUGAUGUAGCAGUUAAAUUAAUAAGUCUGUUCGACUUUUAAAAUCUUACAUGAUCUGAGUUCAGACCGGCGUGAGCCAGGUCGGUUUCUAUCCUUAUUUUAGAAGAAUAUUUUAGUACGAAAGGACCAAAUAUAAUAAAUAAUUUAUUUUUAUAGAUUUAUUUU